rnacentral:rRNA from 1 species
CAAUAGCGUAUAUUUAAGUUGUUGCAGUUAAAAAGCUCGUAGUUGGAUUUCGGUUAAGAGCGACCGGUCCGCCGUUUGGUGUGCACUGGUUGGUUUUAACUUCCUGUAGAAGACGUGCUCUGGGUUUAACGACCUGGACUCGGAGUCUACGUGGUUACUUUGAAAAAAUUAGAGUGUUCAAAGCGGGCUUACGCUUGAAUAUUUCAGCAUGGAAUAACACUAUAGGACUCCUGUCCUAUUUCGUUGGUCUCGGGACGGGAGUAAUGAUUAAGAGGAACAGUUGGGGGCAUUCGUAUUUCAUUGUCAGAGGUGAAAUUCUUGGAUUUAUGAAAGACGAACUUCUGCGAAAGCAUUUGCCAAGGAUGUUUUCAUUAA